rnacentral:rRNA from 1 species
AGAGUUUGAUUCUGGCUCAGGGUUAACGCUGGCGGCGUGCGUAACACAUGCAAGUCGAACGGGCCAUUACUCUUUGGAGUGAUGGUUAGUGGCGAACGGGUGAGUAAAAGGUAGGGACCUACCCCGAGGACAGAGAUAGCUACUGGAAACGGUAGGUAAACUCUGAUAAGCCCGAGAGGGGAAAGUGGAAGGCAGCCUUGGGAUGGACCUACUAUCCAUCAGGUAGUUGGUGAGGUAAAGGCUCACCAAGCCGAUGACGGAUAACCGGUGUGAGAGCAUGUACGGUCACAAGGGCACUGAGACACGGGCCCUACUCCUACGGGAGGCAGCAGUGGGGAAUAUUGGACAAUGGGCGAAAGCCUGAUCCAGCGACGCCGCGUGAAGGAAGAAGUCCUUCGGGAUGUAAACUUCUGAACUAAUCGAAUAAAAGGGUAGUGGACACACUACAGAAGAAGGUAGAUUAGGAAAAGUCCCGGCUAACUACGUGCCAGCAGCCGCGGUAAGACGUAGGGGGCGAGCGUUGCCCGGAAUCACUGGGUGUAAAGGGGACGUAGGCGGAUGAUCAAGUCAUCUGUGAAAAGAUUGCUCAACGAUUGGCUUGCGGAUGAAACUGGUCAUCUUGGGCGUAGCAGAGGUAGACGGAAUUACCUGAGUAGGGGUGAAAUCCGCAGAUACAGGUAAGAACGCCGGUGAAGAAGUUGGUCUACUAGGCUACAGCUGACGCUGAGGUCCGAAAGCCAGGGGAGCGAACCGGAUUAGAUACCCGGGUAGUCCUGGCUGUAAACGAUGCUCACUAGGUGUAGGGAGCGAAAGACUCUCUGUGCUGAAGCUAACGCGAUAAGUGAGCCACCUGGGGAGUACGUCCGCAAGGAUGAAACUCAAAGGAAUUGACGGGGGUCCGCACAAGCGGUGGAGCAUGUGGUUUAAUUCGAAGCUAACCGAAGAACCUUACCAGGGAUUGACAUGUAACUGAAGGUAGAGAAAUCUACUGGCCUGCCGUGAGGUAGGAGGUUACACAGGUGGUGCACGGUCGUCGUCAGCUCGUGCCGUGAGGUGUUGGGUUAAGUCCCACAACGAGCGCAACCCCUACAAUUAGUUACCAGCAAGUAAAGUUGGGGACACUAAUUGGACAGCCGCUGACGAGGCGGAGGAAGGAGGGGAUGACGUCAGAUAAGCGUGCCCCUUAUACUCUGGGCGACACACGUGCUACAAUGGGGAGGACAAAGGGAAGCGAAGCCGAGAGGUGGAGCGGAUCCGAAAAAACUCUCCGUAAUAUGGAUUGUAGGCUGAAACUCGCCUACAUGAAGCUGGAAUCGCUAGUAAUCGCAGGUCAGCCAAACUGCGGUGAAUACGUUCCCGGGCCUUGUACACACCGCCCGUCACGCCACCCGAGUUGGGAACACCUGAAGGCAGUACGGAAGGUACUGUUGAAGGUGGGCUUGGCGAGGGGGGCGAAGUCGUAACAAGGUAGCCG